rnacentral:rRNA from 1 species
AUUGAACGCUGGCGGCAUGCUUUACACAUGCAAGUCGAACGGUAACAGGCCGCAAGGUGCUGACGAGAGGCGAACGGGUGAGUAAUGCAUCGGAACGUGCCCAGUCGUGGGGGAUAACGCAGCGAAAGCUGCGCUAAUACCGCAUACGAUCUAUGGAUGAAAGCGGGGGACCGUAAGGCCUCGCGCGAUUGGAGCGGCCGAUGUCAGAUUAGGUAGUUGGUGGGGUAAAGGCUCACCAAGCCAACGAUCUGUAGCUGGUCUGAGAGGACGACCAGCAAAACUGGGACUGGGACACGGCCCAGACUCCUACGGGAGGCAGCAGUGGGGAAUUUUGGACAAUGGGCGCAAGCCUGAUCCAGCAAUGCCGCGUGCAGGAAGGAGGCCUUCGGGUUGUAAACUGCUUUUGUACGGAACGAAACGGCUCUGGUUAAUACCUGGGGCUAAUGACGGUACCGUAAGAAUAAGCACCGGCUAACUACGUGCCAGCCGCCGCGGUAA